CGAGCGGCGGGCGGACUCGACGCUGCUACAGCGGGAAGGGCUAUGGGUGUUGAGUUUCUGCUGGAGGGGCUUUGCGGGGGAGGGGAGGCCUAGGUGCACCAACAGCCUCUGAUCUUCAGGCUCUACCCUCCUCCUUCCUGCCUUUUCCCCCUUUACAGAUGUUCCGGGACGGGAGGCAGGGCCAGGGCUGUGCGUUUGUGACACCUGCAUUUCCCUGGAGCCCUCCUUCUCCCCCAUCCCAUAUGUUUAUCUUGCCUUCCAGAUGUUCCUUUUCAUCAGGCUCUUGCUUCUCGCCAGGGAAAGCGCACUCCACUUGGAAGCAGGAGACGGGUUUCAGACCUUGGCCCUACCACUCCUUUGUUAAAGUGCCCGAGCCUCAGUUUUCCCCACAGUCUUUUUGCCUUGCUUCAUCUGGUUUUGAAGAUCAAUAUGACCCAGAGGAAUAGAAAGGAAAUGGACAUUUGUUCAGUUCCUGCAAGGCCAAGUACUAUGCAAACUGUUUUAUCUGCUCUAUUUAGUCCUCACUACUUGAUGUUCUUAGAACUCCCAUUUCACAGAUUCUUAAGCUCGCAGAGGUUCGCUCAUUUUUCUCACAUAGCCAGUGAAUGGCAGAGGAGGACUCAAAUUGAGUUUAGCUCCAAAGUGGAGUUCUUUUUCAUCAGACGCUUCCCUUGUCUGGGCUGUCAGCUGGAACUGUUCUUCAGCCAAACCCUAGCCCCAGAACAGCUGCUUCCUGAAUUUCUCCCGUUGAGAAUUCUCCUUUUUGAGUUCCUUUUUCCAGUACAGCGUGCUCUGCUCUGCUUCCACCUUGAUUACUUCAGAAAUGAAAUGCAGCAAACAUUUAUUGAGUGGUGCAUGGAGAUGAACACUUGGAGUCAAGAGCUUUGGGUUCUUGUCCUGGCUCUACCACUAACUGGCUGUGUGGCCUUGGCCAAGUCCCUUGUCUUCUCGGUGCUUUCACUUCCUUUGAAUAAAAUGGGUAAGUGCCUUCUUACUGGCAGGCUCUUGUCCAGGUCUCCCUUCCUGUCCUCCAGCAGGCUCUCCCUGGAGGCCCAGACCCCUCUGCUCCCCAUGGGCAGCUGCCAGGCAGGGCACAACCUGCAUCUCUGCCUGGCCCACCACCCACCUCUGGUCUGUGCCACUUUGAUCUUGCUGCUUCUUGGCCUUUCUGGCCUGGGCCUUGGUGGCUUCCUCCUCACCCACAAGACUGGCCUGCGCAGCCCUGACAUCCCUCAGGACUGGGUCUCCUUCUUGAGAUCUUUUGGCCAGCUGACCCUGUGCCCCGUGAAUGGGACAGUCAAAGGGAAGUGGCGUGGGUCUCACGUCGUGGGCUUACUGACCACCUUGAACUUCGGAGAUGAUCGAGACAGGAACAAGACCCAGACAUUCCAAACCCAGGUCCAGGGUAGUCGUAUGGGAUUGAAAGGAUCUUCUGCAGGAGAGCUGGUCCUCAUUACAGCCAGGGUGACCACGGAAAGGACCCCAGGAACCUGCCUGUAUUUUAGUGCUGCUCCAGGAAUCCUGCCCUCCAGCCAGCCACCCAUGUCCUGCUCGGAAGAGGGAGCAGGAAACGCCACCCUGAACCCUAGGAUGGCUGAGGAGUGUGUCAGUGUCUGGAGCCACGAAGGUCUUGUGCUCACCAAGUUGCUCACCUCCGAGGAGCUGGCUCUGUGUGGCUCUAGGCUGCUGGUUUUGGGCUCCUUCCUGCUUCUCUUCUGUGGCCUUCUCUGCUGUCUCACUGCUGUGUGCUUCCACCCACGCCGGGAGUCCCACUGGUCUAGAACCCGGUUCUGAGGGCACUGGCCUAGUUCCCGUCUCGUUCUCAGGUGUGAAUCAACUUCUUGGGCCUUGAUUCUGAGUUGGAAGAGAUAAUUACAAAAGUGGAGAGCUGGAAUGUGGGGGAAAUAAAAGGUCAUGCUGCUGUGAAGGGCCUCAGUCUCCUGAAGGGAUAUGACAGAUCGAGUUUUCUCAGCAAAGAUUCCUCGAACUUGGGAGCCCACGACCAGGCUGGAUAGUUACUAACCAGGACAGUCCGUUUUCCCGCCUUUUCUGCGCCCAGCAGCAGUCUCCCCUUACCCCUCCCAACCUCUACCCUGCACGCAGGCGCAGAUCACGGCUUCUUAUUUCCUUCCACCCGCGCCCCCUCAAAGCUUCCCCUAGCAACAAGCUCGGGCUCCGCGCUAAGGC